rnacentral:misc_RNA from 1 species
GGUGCUGUAUUUGAAGAAGUCAUUAACAAACGCUAGUACUUAUAAAGGUGCAACCCAGAGAUUCACAAUACCCGUCAUUUAUGAAANNAGUGUGCGUUUNUUUGUAGAUUAUACCGAGNCAACGUUUGCGAAUAAGGUACACUAGCCGCGGUGUAUAGAUCUCUCUUUUGGUACCAUCAAGGGUACGAAGCUGUGCGGAAGUUGAAACUGGUCGAUAUCAACUGAGAUCGUCGAGAGAAAAGUGGAUUACAAAUCAACAAGUCUUGAACACCGACAAGAAAGAUUUACGUAAACAUGAAGUUUAUUGCAAGUUUUAUCGUACUGUCCAUGAUUAUACUGGAAGUGCAACCUGUGCCUGCAAGCAAGGGUAGUGAUAUCACAGUGAACAAAGAGAAGGCACUUCAAUUCAUCAGCGUCAACAAACGCGGGAUUUUUAAAGAUCUCUAUAACGAAUGUUGCGUCGAAUGCUGCCAAGCUGAAGAGAUNCAAGAGGCUGGGAUAUUUAACAAGACACGUGUCCAGUUUGUGAAAGAGAACUGCUGACCAACCGUAUCGCAUGUCUUUAAAAACAGCGAACGGAAGAUUUACAAUAUAUAUCAUAUAAAUAAAAUCCAUUAAAACCGUAAAAGUUAGCAAGUCGUGUA